AGAGUUUGAUCAUGGCUCAGAUUGAACGCUGGCGGCAUGCUUUACACAUGCAAGUCGAACGGCAGCGGGGGCUUCGGCCUGCCGGCGAGUGGCGAACGGGUGAGUAAUACAUCGGAACGUGUCCUUAAGUGGGGAAUAACGCAUCGAAAGAUGUGCUAAUACCGCAUAUCUCUCAGGAGGAAAGCAGGGGAUCGAAAGACCUUGCGCUAAAGGAGCGGCUGAUGUCUGAUUAGCUAGUUGGUGGGGUAAAGGCUUACCAAGGCAACGAUCAGUAGCUGGUCUGAGAGGACGACCAGCCACACUGGGACUGAGACACGGCCCAGACUCCUACGGGAGGCAGCAGUGGGGAAUUUUGGACAAUGGGCGAAAGCCUGAUCCAGCCAUGCCGCGUGAGUGAAGAAGGCCUUCGGGUUGUAAAGCUCUUUUAGUCGGAAAGAAAGAGUCAUAGUAAAUAGCUAUGACUUAUGACGGUACCGACAGAAAAAGCACCGGCUAACUACGUGCCAGCAGCCGCGGUAAUACGUAGGGUGCGAGCGUUAAUCGGAAUUACUGGGCGUAAAGGGUGCGCAGGCGGCCUUGUAAGUCAGAUGUGAAAGCCCCGGGCUUAACCUGGGAAUUGCGUUUGAAACUACAAAGCUAGAGUGCAGCAGAGGGGAGUGGAAUUCCAUGUGUAGCAGUGAAAUGCGUAGAGAUGUGGAAGAACACCGAUGGCGAAGGCAGCUCCCUGGGU
rnacentral:rRNA from 1 species